AUGAACGCUGGCGGCGUGGAUAAGGCAUGCAAGUCGAGUGGGUUAGACCCACGGCAGACGAGGUAGUAAUACGUAGGAACGCACCCCGAAGUCGGGCAUAACUCCGCGAAAGCGGAGAUAAUUCCCGAUAGUCCCGCAAGGGUAAAGAUUUAUCGCUUCGGGAGCGGCCUACGCGGUAUCAGCUAGUUGGUAAGGUAAUGGCUUACCAAGGCUAUGACGCCUAGGGGAGGUGAGAGCCUGACCCCCACCGAUGGUACUGCGACACGGACCAUACACCUACGGGUGGCUGCAGUCGAGAAUCUUCCACAAUGGACGAAAGUCUGAUGGAGCGACGCCGCGUGACUGAUGAAGUCCUUCGGGAUGUAAAGGUCUUUUAUGAGGGAGAAAGUUAUUGAUAGUACUUCAUGAAUAAGGGGUUGCUAAACUCGU
rnacentral:rRNA from 1 species